rnacentral:tRNA from 13 species
UCCGUCGAGCCGGAGUCGAACCAGCGACCUAUGGAUUACUACAAUCACACCGCUACAGUCCACCGCUCUGCCAACUGAGCUAUCGACGG